UACGAAGGGGGCUAGCGUUGCUCGGAAUCACUGGGCGUAAAGCGCACGUAGGCGGAUUGCUAAGUCAGGGGUGAAAUCCUGGAGCUCAACUCCAGAACUGCCCUUGAUACUGGCGGUCUCGAGUCCGGGAGAGGUGAGUGGAACUGCGAGUGUAGAGGUGAAAUUCGUAGAUAUUCGGAAGAACACCAGUGGCGAAGGCGGCUCACUGGCCCGGUACUGACGCUGAUGUGCGAAAGCGUGGGGAGCAAACAGG
rnacentral:rRNA from 1 species